UCGGCUAUCACUCCAUCAGGACUGGUAAGGACCAGCCCGGCCCCUCCACCCUCGGGGUUCGACGACCCAUCGAUGUGAAGCGUCCAGGUCGGGAGGUCGAGGCUGGGCGUUUCCGGCGGUCUAGGUUCCGCCUCCUGCACCGUGCACUCAGCGAGGAAGUCCGCGAGCACCUGGGCCUUGAUGGCGGGUCGAGGCUGGUAGCGGAUGUCGAACUCACCGAGUUCUACUGCCCACUUCACCAGCCGUCCCGCAUUCUCG
rnacentral:lncRNA from 1 species